GUUUUUAUAAUUUAAAUAAAAUAUUGGUCUUGUAAAUCAAUUAUGGGAUUAAUCCCUAAAAACU
rnacentral:tRNA from 1 species